AUUGAACGCUGGUGGCAGGCUUAACACAUGCAAGUCGAGCGGAGAUGAGGUGCUUGCACCUUAUCUUAGCGGCGGACGGGUGAGUAAUGCUUAGGAAUCUGCCUAUUAGUGGGGGACAACAUUCCGAAAGGAAUGCUAAUACCGCAUACGUCCUACGGGAGAAAGCAGGGGAUCUUCGGACCUUGCGCUAAUAGAUGAGCCUAAGUCGGAUUAGCUAGUUGGUGGGGUAAAGGCCUACCAAGGCGACGAUCUGCAGCGGGUCUGAGAGGAUGAUCCGCCACACUGGGACUGAGACACGGCCCAGACUCCUACGGGAGGCAGCAGUGGGGAAUAUUGGACAAUGGGGUGAACCCUGAUCCAGCCAUGCCGCGUGUGUGAAGAAGGCCUUAUGGUUGUAAAGCACUUUAAGCGAGGAGGAGGCUACUGAGACUAAUACUCUUGGAUAGUGGACGUUACUCGCAGAAUAAGCACCGGCUAACUCUGUGCCAGCCGCCGCAGUAAGAC
rnacentral:rRNA from 1 species